rnacentral:rRNA from 1 species
GCACAAGCGGUGGAUGAUGUGGUUUAAUUCGAUGCAACGCGAAAACCUUACCCACCUUUGACAUGGCAGGAAUCCCGAAGAGAUUUGGGAGUGCUCGAAAGAGAACCUGCACACAGGUGCUGCAUGGCUGUCGUCAGCUCGUGUCGUGAGAUGUUGGGUUAAGUCCCGCAACGAGCGCAACCCUUGCCAUUAGUUGCUACGAAAGGGCACUCUAAUGGGACUGCCGGUGACAAACCGGAGGAAGGUGGGGAUGACGUCAAAUCAUCAUGCCCCUUAUGACCUGGGCUACACACGUGCUACAAUGGUUGGUACAACGAGUUGCGAGUCGGUGACGGCGAGCUAAUCUCUUAAAGCCAAUCUCAGUUCGGAUUGUAGGCUGCAACUCGCCUACAUGAAGUCGGAAUCGCUAGUAAUCGCGGAUCAGCACGCCGCGGUGAAUACGUUCCCGGGCCUU